GACCGCUCCGGUGGCCUAGUGGUUAGAGCGUCCGCCCCGGAUGCGAGAGGUUUUGGGUUUGAACCCAGGACGAGUCA